rnacentral:rRNA from 1 species
UAGGGAAUCUUCCACAAUGGACGCAAGUCUGAUGGAGCAACGCCGCGUGAGUGAAGAAGGUUUUCGGAUCGUAAAGCUCUGUUGUUGGUGAAGAAGGAUAGAGGCAGUAACUGGUCUUUAUUUGACGGUAAUCAACCAGAAAGUCACGGCUAACUACGUGCCAGCAGCCGCGGUAAUACGUAGGUGGCAAGCGUUGUCCGGAUUUAUUGGGCGUAAAGCGAGCGCAGGCGGAAUGAUAAGUCUGAUGUGAAAGCCCACGGCUCAACCGUGGAACUGCAUCGGAAACUGUCAUUCUUGAGUGCAGAAGAGGAGAGUGGAACUCCAUGUGUAGCGGUGGAAUGCGUAGAUAUAUGGAAGAACACCAGUGGCGAAGGCGGCUCUCUGGUCUGCAACUGACGCUGAGGCUCGAAAGCAUGGGUAGCGAACAGGAUUAGAUACCCUGGUAGUCCAUGC